CUCGGCUAGCUCUUCCUCAGCCAAAAGAUGUCCAUGUGGCGGCUUAUGCUUUGGUGGUGGCUUAUUACCCUUAUGUGAGUCCUCUACAACCUCUGUAGCUAAAAGACGUCUGAGGGGUGGUUUGUGCUCUGGUGGUGGCUUGUGCGGUGGUUUGUGCUCGGAUGAUGGCUUUUGAGGUGGAAAAUUCUUAGGAGGUGGUUUCUCUCCCUUACCCUUAAAUGGCGGUUUUUGGAAGUCCUCUACGCUAUCCUCGCUUAAUAGGUGCCCAUGUGGUGGCUUGUGUGGUGGUUUGUGCUCUGGUGUUGGCUUUUGAGGUGGAAAAUUCUUAGGUGGUGGCUUUUGAGGUGGAAAAUUCUUAGGAGGUGGGUUCUCUCCCUUACCCUUAAAUGGUGGUUUUUGGAAGUCCUCUUCGCUAUCCUCACUUAAUAGGUGACCAUGUGGUGGCUUGUGUGGGGGGUUGUGCUCUGGGGGUGGCUUUUGAGGUGGGAAAUUCUUAGGUGGUGGCUUUUGAGGUGGAAAAUUCUUAGGAGGUGGGUUCUCUCCCUUACCCUUAAAUGGUGGUUUUUGGAAGUCCUCUUCGCUAUCCUCACUUAAUAGGUGACCAUGUGGUGGCUUGUGUGGUGGGUUGUGGUCUGGUGUUGGCUUUUGAGGUGGAAAAUUCUUAGGAGGUGGUUUCUCUCCCUUACCCUUGUAAGGUGGAUCAUGGACAUCCUCUACAUUAUCCUCACUUAACAGAUGACCAUGUGGUGGCUUGUGCUGUGAGUGGUGGUGAUCAUAAUGAUCAGCUAAUGAAGAAGAAAUGGAGAGAAUCACGACUGCUCCAAUAAGGAGCAACACUCGCAAGUUUUUAGAAGAGAACAUGUUUGA
rnacentral:lncRNA from 1 species